CAGUCGCCACGGUAAUACGGAGGGGGCUAGCGUUGUCCGGAAUUACUGGGCGUAAAGCGCACGUAGGCGGCUUUGUAAGUUAGAGGUGAAAGCCUGGAGCUCAACUCCAGAAUUGCCUUUAAGGCUGCAUCGCUUGAACGUCGGAGAGGUGAGUGGAAUUCCGAGUGUAGAGGUGAAAUUCGUAGUUAUUCGGAAGAACACCAGUGGCGAAGGCGGCUCACUGGACGACUGUUGACGCUGAGGUGCGAAAGCGUGGGGAGCAAACAGGAUUAGAUACCCCCGUAGUCCCUGUCUCUUAUAC
rnacentral:rRNA from 1 species